rnacentral:rRNA from 1 species
AAUCAACGCUGGCGGCGUGCCUAACACAUGCAAGUCGAGCGCGAAAGGGGGGGCAACUCCCCGAGUAGAGCGGCGAACGGGUGAGUAACGCGUGGGUGAUCUACCUCCGAGUGGGGAAUAACACCGGGAAACUGGUGCUAAUACCGCAUGACAUCGCUGGUUCGUUCCGGCGAUCAAAGCUGGGGACCGCAAGGCCUAGCGCUUGGAGAGGAGCCCGCGUCCGAUUAGCUAGUUGGUGGGGUAAUGGCCCACCAAGGCGACGAUCGGUAGCCGGCCUGAGAGGGCGGACGGCCACACUGGGACUGAGACACGGCCCAGACUCCUACGGGAGGCAGCAGUGGGGAAUUUUUCGCAAUGGGGGAAACCCUGACGAAGCAACGCCGCGUGGAGGAUGAAGGCCUUCGGGUCGUAAACUCCUGUCGACCGGGACGAAAGCAGUCCGGCCUAAUACGCCGGGCUGUCGACUGUACCGGUGGAGGAAGCCACGGCUAACUCUGUGCCAGCAGCCGCGGUAAUACAGAGGUGGCAAGCGUUGUUCGGAAUUACUGGGCGUAAAGGGCGCGUAGGCGGCCUCGUAAGUCCUGUGUGAAAUCCCCCGGCUCAACCGGGGAACUGCACAGGAAACUGCGGGGCUUGAGUUCGGGAGAGGGAAGCGGAAUUCCGGGUGUAGCGGUGAAAUGCGUAGAUAUCCGGAGGAACACCGGUGGCGAAGGCGGCUUCCUGGACCGACACUGACGCUGAGGCGCGAAAGCCAGGGGAGCAAACGGGAUUAGAUACCCCGGUAGUCCUGGCUGUAAACGAUGAGUGCUGGGUGUAGGAGGUAUUAACCCCUCCUGUGCCGAAGCUAACGCAUUAAGCACUCCGCCUGGGGAGUACGGUCGCAAGGCUG